AAUUUGUUAUUUAUCUAUUUAAAUACAGUAACAUUUAUUCAUUCAUUCAUAUAUAAAUAAAUUUAAUCACAUUUAUACAGGGUCGUUGUGCACGUAGAAGGAGUAUGUAUUCGGAUAUGCAGUUUUACUUGGCACGCUUUUAAAAUGGGCGUUUUCAGUACUGAGUAGUCAACAUUUGGCUUUUCAUAAAACUAAAUUUAAUUUGUAUUAUAGGGCUUUGAUGUACUUUUAAUAAAACCACUGUUUUAUGUUGUACAUUCAAACAAUAAUAAUUUUGAAUAUUAACUGACGUGAUACCUUCAAACACAGACAGCGGUCUCAAUACAGGAAACCAAUUUCCUGAAACAAGAAAAUGACAAAACAUUUCAGAGUAAGAGCCCAACGUUUCCUUUAAACUCAAACUUUUCAGAAAUGUUUUCAUGUUUAAUAACCACCACACUCCUAAUAUAAGACGGCGAGUUCUGAUACAAAAUCAUCUCUUCAUUCAGAAAGAAACAAAAUGAAUAAGUCAGUGCUUCUCCUCUUGCUUGUCAUCGGACUCCUCACUGAUAUUUCGUUGGCGGGUAAACCAUUGGGGGCGCCCAGCUAUUGGUCAUGGAACCAAAAGAAAAACGCCGAGAAGGUUAAAGACUUGAUGGAACAACGAAAUGAAAUGAAUAUGGCUGACUUUUUAGUCAUAUAAUUCAAACAACUGCAAAAUACUCGCAGUGAAUAAACCACUAUAAAUAUA